GGGUUGUGAGGUUAAGCGACUAAGCGUACACGGUGGAUGCCCUGGCAGUCAGAGGCGAUGAAGGACGUGCUAAUCUGCGAUAAGCGUCGGUAAGGUGAUAUGAACCGUUAUAACCGGCGAUUUCCGAAUGGGGAAACCCAGUGUGUUUCGACACACUAUCAUUAACUGAAUCCAUAGGUUAAUGAGGCGAACCGGGGGAACUGAAACAUCUAAGUACCCCGAGGAAAAGAAAUCAACCGAGAUUCCCCCAGUAGCGGCGAGCGAACGGGGAGCAGCCCAGAGCCUGAAUCAGUGUGUGUGUUAGUGGAAGCGUCUGGAAAGGCGCGCGAUACAGGGUGACAGCCCCGUACACAAAAAUGCACAUACUGUGAGCUCGAUGAGUAGGGCGGGACACGUGGUAUCCUGUCUGAAUAUGGGGGGACCAUCCUCCAAGGCUAAAUACUCCUGACUGACCGAUAGUGAACCAGUACCGUGAGGGAAAGGCGAAAAGAACCCCGGCGAGGGGAGUGAAAAAGAACCUGAAACCGUGUACGUACAAGCAGUGGGAGCACGCUUCGGCGUGUGACUGCGUACCUUUUGUAUAAUGGGUCAGCGACUUAUAUUCUGUAGCAAGGUUAACCGAAUAGGGGAGCCGAAGGGAAACCGAGUCUUAACUGGGCGUUAAGUUGCAGGGUAUAGACCCGAAACCCGGUGAUCUAGCCAUGGGCAGGUUGAAGGUUGGGUAACACUAACUGGAGGACCGAACCGACUAAUGUUGAAAAAUUAGCGGAUGACUUGUGGCUGGGGGUGAAAGGCCAAUCAAACCGGGAGAUAGCUGGUUCUCCCCGAAAGCUAUUUAGGUAGCGCCUCGUGAAUUCAUCUCCGGGGGUAGAGCACUGUUUCGGCAAGGGGGUCAUCCCGACUUACCAACCCGAUGCAAACUGCGAAUACCGGAGAAUGUUAUCACGGGAGACACACGGCGGGUGCUAACGUCCGUCGUGAAGAGGGAAACAACCCAGACCGCCAGCUAAGGUCCCAAAGUCAUGGUUAAGUGGGAAACGAUGUGGGAAGGCCCAGACAGCCAGGAUGUUGGCUUAGAAGCAGCCAUCAUUUAAAGAAAGCGUAAUAGCUCACUGGUCGAGUCGGCCUGCGCGGAAGAUGUAACGGGGCUAAACCAUGCACCGAAGCUGCGGCAGCGACACUAUGUGUUGUUGGGUAGGGGAGCGUUCUGUAAGCCUGUGAAGGUGUGCUGUGAGGCAUGCUGGAGGUAUCAGAAGUGCGAAUGCUGACAUAAGUAACGAUAAAGCGGGUGAAAAGCCCGCUCGCCGGAAGACCAAGGGUUCCUGUCCAACGUUAAUCGGGGCAGGGUGAGUCGACCCCUAAGGCGAGGCCGAAAGGCGUAGUCGAUGGGAAACAGGUUAAUAUUCCUGUACUUGGUGUUACUGCGAAGGGGGGACGGAGAAGGCUAUGUUGGCCGGGCGACGGUUGUCCCGGUUUAAGCGUGUAGGCUGGUUUUCCAGGCAAAUCCGGAAAAUCAAGGCUGAGGCGUGAUGACGAGGCACUACGGUGCUGAAGCAACAAAUGCCCUGCUUCCAGGAAAAGCCUCUAAGCAUCAGGUAACAUUAAAUCGUACCCCAAACCGACACAGGUGGUCAGGUAGAGAAUACCAAGGCGCUUGAGAGAACUCGGGUGAAGGAACUAGGCAAAAUGGUGCCGUAACUUCGGGAGAAGGCACGCUGAUAUGUAGGUGAAGUCCCUCGCGGAUGGAGCUGAAAUCAGUCGAAGAUACCAGCUGGCUGCAACUGUUUAUUAAAAACACAGCACUGUGCAAACACGAAAGUGGACGUAUACGGUGUGACGCCUGCCCGGUGCCGGAAGGUUAAUUGAUGGGGUUAGCGGUAACGCGAAGCUCUUGAUCGAAGCCCCGGUAAACGGCGGCCGUAACUAUAACGGUCCUAAGGUAGCGAAAUUCCUUGUCGGGUAAGUUCCGACCUGCACGAAUGGCGUAAUGAUGGCCAGGCUGUCUCCACCCGAGACUCAGUGAAAUUGAACUCGCUGUGAAGAUGCAGUGUACCCGCGGCAAGACGGAAAGACCCCGUGAACCUUUACUAUAGCUUGACACUGAACAUUGAGCCUUGAUGUGUAGGAUAGGUGGGAGGCUUUGAAGUGUGGA
rnacentral:rRNA from 1 species